CCUAGUGACUCAGCAGUGGGGAAUAUUGGACAAUGGGCGAAAGCCUGAUCCAGCCAUGCCGCGUGUGUGAAGAAGGCCUUCGGGUUGUAAAGCACUUUCAGUGGGGAAGAAAGCCUUGGGGCUAAUACCCUCGAGGAAGGACAUCACCCACAGAAGAAGCACCGGCUAACUCCGUGCCAGCAGCCGCGGUAAUACGGAGGGUGCGAGCGUUAAUCGGAAUUACUGGGCGUAAAGCGCGCGUAGGCGGUCUGAUAAGCCGGUUGUGAAAGCCCCGGGCUCAACCUGGGAACGGCAUCCGGAACUGUCAGGCUAGAGUGCAGGAGAGGAAGGUAGAAUUCCCGGUGUAGCGGUGAAAUGCGUAGAGAUCGGGAGGAAUACCAGUGGCGAAGGCGGCCUUCUGGACUGACACUGACGCUGAGGUGCGAAAGCGUGGGUAGCAAACAGGAUUAGAUACCCGAGUAGUC
rnacentral:rRNA from 1 species